rnacentral:lncRNA from 1 species
UGUAGUAUCGUACUUUUUUAUUUUAGUGUCAUAUAGUUUAAAAUGUAUCAAUUUAGUAUCUCGUAUUUUUAUUUUUCUCUUUUUAUUAUUCACUCCACUAUUUUUUUUCGUUAAAUUAGCAACAAAGUUAAAACUAAAAGAGACUAAAGUGAAUAUUCGAUAAAUUUAGGUGAGGUAUCUGAAUUUUUUUGUAUAUAAUUUAACGAAAUAUUAACGGAGGAGCUAACGAAAAAAAAAAGAAGUAAAAUCACAUGGUACUAAAUUGAUACGUUUUAAACUAUAGGAUAAUAAAAUAAAAAAAUAUGAAAUCACAUGAGUGGUAUUUAAAGGUUACCCUAAUAAUAAUAAGGCUAAAUUAUAGAAAACUCCCUUGUAAUAAUCUGUUUUUUCACUUUCUCCCCCUGACAUUUAAAAAUCUAUACUUUGCCUCCUUUUAAAAUAAAAAAUGUUCACAGGGGGAUUACGGUGUGUAAAAUGACUAGUUUGCCCCUCACCAUUUUCGUCUUCUUCCUCAUCUUCCUCAGCCGCACCUUCGAUUGGCCGCGAUUCCCACCUCAAUCGGCCGCGAUUUCUCUCCAUUUUCUUCUCCACCUGCUCCCCUUCUCCUCCUGCACCGUCGCCGCCCAUCGAUUUCGGCAACAGUAGGGAGGAAACCGAGGUGGGUGUUGAUGGAGAGGUAGGCAAGGGCAACGAUGGCGAAGGCGAGGCGGCGGAGGACGACGAAGGGGAUGGGGGCGAGGGUGAGGCAGUGAAGGACGGCGAGGCGGCUAGGCGGCAAGGUGGCGAGGCGGCGGUGAGGUGGCGAGCCGGAGGAAGGCGCAGCAAUAGGGANGAGAGGUAGGCAAGGGCAACGAUGGCGAAGGCGAGGCGGCGGAGGACGACGAAGGGGAUGGGGGCGAGGGUGAGGCAGUGAAGGACGGCGAGGCGGCGAGGCGGCGGUGAGGUGGCGAGCCGGAGGAAGGCGCAGCAAUAGGGAAGAGGGCGGAGGGGUAUUUUCGACAUAAAAAAAUAUUUUAUAACGGAACCCUAACGCUAGGGGGGGAAGUGCAUAUUUUUUAUUUUAUAAGGAGGCAAAGUAUAAAUUUUUAAAUGUCAAGAGAGAAAAGUAAAAAAAUAAAUUAUUACAAGAGAAUUUUCUGUAAUUUAGCCUAAUAAUAAUGAUUUAGAUUCGUUUGUUUCUCCUUGUGCUACAAUAAGCUUCAGUUAUAGAGCAUUUUGCAAUA